rnacentral:rRNA from 2 species
CCUGCGGAGGGAUCAUUACUGAGUUUACGCUCUACAACCCUUUGUGAACAUACCUAUAACUGUUGCUUCGGCGGGUAGGGUCUCCGUGACCCUCCCGGCCUCCCGCCCCCGGGCGGGUCGGCGCCCGCCGGAGGAUAACCAAACUCUGAUUUAACGACGUUUCUUCUGAGUGGUACAAGCAAAUAAUCAAAACUUUUAACAACGGAUCUCUUGGUUCUGGCAUCGAUGAAGAACGCAGCGAAAUGCGAUAAGUAAUGUGAAUUGCAGAAUUCAGUGAAUCAUCGAAUCUUUGAACGCACAUUGCGCCCGCCAGCAUUCUGGCGGGCAUGCCUGUUCGAGCGUCAUUUCAACCCUCAAGCUCUGCUUGGUGUUGGGGCCCUACAGCUGAUGUAGGCCCUCAAAGGUAGUGGCGGACCCUCCCGGAGCCUCCUUUGCGUAGUAACUUUACGUCUCGCACUGGGAUCCGGAGGGACUCUUGCCGUAAAACCCCCAAUUUUCCAAAGGUUGACC